GCGGGGAUAGCUCAGUUGGGAGAGCGUCAGACUGAAGUUCCAACUUCAUUCUUUCAAUAAUCUGAAGGUCGUGUGUUCGAUCCACACUCACCGCA